GGAAGGCUGGCAUCAUCAACAAGGAGGAUUGACUAGGAGCCCUAAGAACAAUAAGUAGCCAAAAAAGUGCUUCUUUUCUUGCAGGACUGAGAAUUUCCUUACCCCACUGAGAGAUACUGAGAGGACAGAGGAAGGAGGACCUUGCAAAAACAAAUGGUGUGGCCCAGAAAGUCUCUGGUUCACCUUCUCAGAGACCCAAGGAAAUCAUGAGACAUGGCUCUACAGGUUGAAGAUUUGUUGCAUAGAAAUCUCACCCUGAUGGGAGAAGAAUGCUAGAUGAACUUUAUUACUAUAAAGCAAUUAAGUGAAAAUUAGAUAAUCACAAGGUGGGAAAAGCUCAUUAAUUAGAAGACCAGAAAAGCACAGCAGGCUUCUGAGAUGAAAUACUUAUGAAAAAGCAGGUAUGUGUAAUAGUUUUUACGGCAGAGUCAA
rnacentral:lncRNA from 1 species